rnacentral:tRNA from 5 species
GCACUCGUAGCUCAGCUGGAUAGAGUACUGCCCUCCGAAGGCAGGGGUCACAGGUUCGAAUCCUGUCGAGUGCGCCA